ACUACAGGUCCUGGAUUCUGCCCUGAAGGCACCCGGUGGCCCACCUUCCAUAUUGUACCUGAUUGUCAGGUUUUCAAAGCACACUCGCCUGAGGGUGUUAGAAACAAGCCAGAGAAAACUAAAGCCCAGAGAAGAGCCCUAGGAUAGCCUGUCACUGGGAGAGCUGACUUUUCAAGCCUCUGUGAUUUGGUUUGGUUUGGGUUGGGUUGGGUUGCGUUUUUUCUUACCUUUCUUGCCAUAGAUCAGGGUCUCACGAACCUCUUAAGAGUCAAUGGCCCGUCCACUAUCAGUGAAGCAAUAUAUAUAUUUUUUUAUUUUGUUUAUUUGUUGUUGUUUGAGACAGAGUCUUGAUUUGUCACUCAGGCUGCAGUGCCGUGUCUCGAUCUUGGCUCACUGCAACCUCCGCCUCCCUGGUUCAAUCCAUUCUCUUGUCCCAGCCUCUCCAGUAGCUGGUAUUACAGGUGCAUACCACCACGCUCAGCUAAUUUUUUUUUUUUUUUUGUAUUUUUAAUAGAGACAAUGUUUCACCAUGUUGGCCAGGCUGGUCUCGAACUCCUGACCUCAAGUGACCCGCCCGCCUUGUCCUCGAAUAGUGCUGGGAUUACAGGUGCGACCCACCACACCCGGCUGCAAUGUUUGUUUUAAUUACUUUUGGCAAGUAUUUCCUGAGUACCCCGAGCGUGCCAGGUGAAGAGAGACGGAUAAUAACAGCGCUAGCCAGCACGUAUUAAGCCUUGCAAAGCUGCACGGGCAUGAACUUGUGGCUUCAACACAACCUUAUGAGCAAUAAAACUCUUGUUCAAACAAACGAUUACAGUGGUAAGACACGAAAAGGAAGCUGUUCCUGCUGAUGAAGGGUGAGAAACCUGGAGCCUUCCCUCCCUCCACGCCACGUGGCAGACACCUCAGGGAAUGCUGGGUCUCAGGAGAACAUGCCGAUCCCGUUAACACACAGUCUUCAUAUGAAACCAUGUGGGAACUCAACACAUGCUGUCUCCUCUCUAACCUGAGAUCCUGGCCCUGUUCCACAAAGCGAGGCAGCCUCUUAUAUACCCCUCACAAACCAAGUACUGGGGUGGUGGCCAAAGGGGAGAGACAGGCUAGGGUGUGGGUGGGCCGAAGAAAUCUGAGAGGGACAGGAGCUGCGGUGGCCUGGUCUCUGAGCCUGCAGAGGCUCCCUUCCAGAGAGAGAGCUUGGAACUCAGUCUCUGCCUCCCUCCUUCUCUCCCUCCCUCCAGCAGAACUGCCCUGCCCCAGGGGGUUCAUACCUCGCUAGUCCCCUAGGCCUACACCUUUCCUAAUCUUAGGAGAGACAUAAGAAAAGGAAUCUCUCCCCUUCCCCGCAGAAUACUUUUUUUUUUUUUUUAAACAGGGUCUCUCUCUGUCACCUGGCUGGAGUGCAGUGGCGCAAUCAUGCUCACUGCAACUCUGCCUCCUGGGCUCAAGUGAUCCUCCCACCUCAGCCUCCCAAGUAGCUGGGACCACAGGCAUGCACCACCACGCCUGGCUAAUUUUUGUAUUUUUUGUAGAGAUGGGAUUUCGCCAUGUUGCCCAGGCUGGUCUCAAACUCCCAGCCUCAAGUGAUCCUCCCACCUAGGCCUCCCAAAGUGCUGGGAUUACAGGCAUGAGCCACCGUGCCUGGCCCACAAUACUUUGGUAUAGUUGCUUCAAGCCCAGAUUCUGGUUCUUCGCACAGUCAACCUAUAGGGUGCCCCCCCACCGCCCCCCCCAUAGUCCUUGAUAGUCAUGCUGGGUUAGUUUCUCUAACCAGAGGAUGGGCCCAUUCUUCGCUGUGAGAUGGUGUGUGGGGACAUCGGUAAGGAACAAAUAAAGACUUGGGCAAAUAACUUUAUUCUGAGGUUGGUUAUCUCAGCCACAGGCUGAGCAUCAUAGUACCUAUUCCGCAGGGCUAUUUGGAGGAUUAAAUGAGAUAAUGUGUAUCAAAGCCCAACAUGACAGGAGCUCAGCGUAGAAGCAGUUCCAUACCAGAAAAAAGGAUGGCUUUGUCCCUUAGGUGUCGUGUCACCUCAGAUAAGGCAUUUCCCCUCUUUGAACUCCAGUUUCCUCAUUUGUAAAAUGAGCAUGUUUAAAAUUUUUUUUACUUAAAAAAGGGGCAUAUUAAUAUCUACCCUUCACAGUUGCUAUAAGUAGAGGCGAUUCACAUGACGUGGUUGAUACCUGGCACAAAGAAAGUA
rnacentral:lncRNA from 1 species